GAUGAACGCUGGCGGCGUGCUUAACACAUGCAAGUCGAACGAUGAACUGGUGCUUGCACUGGGGAUUAGUGGCGAACGGGUGAGUAACACGUGAGUAACCUGCCCUUGACUCUGGGAUAAGCCUGGGAAACUGGGUCUAAUACCGGAUAUGACUGACCGUCGCAUGGUGGUUGGUGGAAAGCUUUUGUGGUUUUGGAUGGACUCGCGGCCUAUCAGCUUGUUGGUGAGGUAAUGGCUUACCAAGGCGACGACGGGUAGCCGGCCUGAGAGGGUGACCGGCCACACUGGGACUGAGACACGGCCCAGACUCCUACGGGAGGCAGCAGUGGGGAAUAUUGCACAAUGGGCGCAAGCCUGAUGCAGCGACGCCGCGUGAGGGAUGACGGCCUUCGGGUUGUAAAGCCCUUUUGCACGGGAAGAUGAUGACGGUACCGUGCGAAUAAGCCCCGGCUAACUACGUGCCAGCCGCCGCCGUAAGAC
rnacentral:rRNA from 1 species